CGUAGGUGGCAAGCGUUGUCCGGAUUUAUUGGGUUUAAAGGGUGCGUAGGCGGCUUUGUAAGUCAGUGGUGAAAUAUGGCAACUCAACUGUCAGGGUGCCAUUGAUACUGCAGAGCUUGAGUACAGAUGAGGUAGGCGGAAUUGACGGUGUAGCGGUGAAAUGCUUAGAUAUCGUCAAGAACACCGAUAGCGAAGGCAGCUUACUAGGCUGUAACUGACGCUGAGGCACGAAAGUGUGGGGAUCAAACAGGAUUAGAUACCCUGGUAGUCCACACUGUAAACGUUGAUGACUCGCUGUUGGCGAUACACGGCCAGCGGCAGAGAGAAAUCGUUAAGUCAUCCACCUGGGGAGUACGCCGGCAACGGUG
rnacentral:rRNA from 1 species